rnacentral:rRNA from 1 species
ACGAAGAGUUUGAUCCUGGCUCAGGAUGAACGCUAGCGACAGGCUUAACACAUGCAAGUCGAGGGGCAGCACAGGUAGCAAUACCGGGUGGCGACCGGCGCACGGGUGAGUAACGCGUAUGCAACUUACCUAUCAGAGGGGGAUAACCCGGCGAAAGUCGGACUAAUACCGCAUGAAGCAGGGGCCCCGCAUGGGGAUAUUUGCUAAAGAUUCAUCGCUGAUAGAUAGGCAUGCGUUCCAUUAGGCAGUUGGCGGGGUAACGGCCCACCAAACCGACGAUGGAUAGGGGUUCUGAGAGGAAGGUCCCCCACAUUGGUACUGAGACACGGACCAAACUCCUACGGGAGGCAGCAGUGAGGAAUAUUGGUCAAUGGCCGAGAGGCUGAACCAGCCAAGUCGCGUGAGGGAUGAAGGUUCUAUGGAUCGUAAACCUCUUUUAUAAGGGAAUAAAGUGCGGGACGUGUCCCGUUUUGUAUGUACCUUAUGAAUAAGGAUCGGCUAACUCCGUGCCAGCAGCCGCGGUAAUACGGAGGAUCCGAGCGUUAUCCGGAUUUAUUGGGUUUAAAGGGUGCGUAGGCGGCCUUUUAAGUCAGCGGUGAAAGUCUGUGGCUCAACCAUAGAAUUGCCGUUGAAACUGGGGGGCUUGAGUAUGUUUGAGGCAGGCGGAAUGCGUGGUGUAGCGGUGAAAUGCAUAGAUAUCACGCAGAACCCCGAUUGCGAAGGCAGCCUGCCAAGCCAUUACUGACGCUGAUGCACGAAAGCGUGGGGAUCAAACAGGAUUAGAUACCCUGGUAGUCCACGCAGUAAACGAUGAUCACUAGCUGUUUGCGAUACACUGUAAGCGGCACAGCGAAAGCGUUAAGUGAUCCACCUGGGGAGUACGCCGGCAACGGUGAAACUCAAAGGAAUUGACGGGGGCCCGCACAAGCGGAGGAACAUGUGGUUUAAUUCGAUGAUACGCGAGGAACCUUACCCGGGUUUGAACGCAUUCGGACCGAGGUGGAAACACCUUUUCUAGCAAUAGCCGUUUGCGAGGUGCUGCAUGGUUGUCGUCAGCUCGUGCCGUGAGGUGUCGGCUUAAGUGCCAUAACGAGCGCAACCCUUGCCACUAGUUACUAACAGGUAAAGCUGAGGACUCUGGUGGGACUGCCAGCGUAAGCUGCGAGGAAGGCGGGGAUGACGUCAAAUCAGCACGGCCCUUACAUCCGGGGCGACACACGUGUUACAAUGGCGUGGACAAAGGGAAGCCACCUGGCGACAGGGAGCGAAUCCCCAAACCACGUCUCAGUUCGGAUCGGAGUCUGCAACCCGACUCCGUGAAGCUGGAUUCGCUAGUAAUCGCGCAUCAGCCAUGGCGCGGUGAAUACGUUCCCGGGCCUUGUACACACCGCCCGUCAAGCCAUGGGAGCCGGGGGUACCUGAAGUCCGUAACCGCGAGGAUCGGCCUAGGGUAAAACUGGUGACUGGGGCUAAGUCGUAACAAGGUAGCCGUACCGGAAGGUGCGGCUGGAACACCUCCUU